CACAGAUCCAGCCCGGGGGAGCAGCAACUAGGCAUAGAAACUCAGAGAUGAAGGCAUUCUUUCUCUUCUUCCUUCUCUGCCUUGGGGCCCUGAUGGAGAUUGAGGCUUCCACCGCACUCUCAACAACUGUAAAGCCUACGACGUCAUCCCAGACGUUCCAUGGACCCUAUACCUGGAGCAUCUUCAUCCUCGCCGGGCUCCUGACUUACCUCCUUCGGCUGCAAUGAGGCCUGGGACCAAGACCAUGGAGACCGCCAGCCUUGGCUCCUGUUCACCCACUCUUCAGCACCGGCCUCCCCUUCUCCCAGAGGGCCCAUUCCUCUUGGCUACAGUAGACUCCUUCACCUUGGCACUUGCCCUGAUCCCCCACCCCAGCUGAGCAUCCCACAGCCUUCUCGGGAGCUUGAUCCCCCUGUCAUCAAGGGUCAUGGAUUUAUUCCCCUUGAUAUUCUGAGGGUUAUAGUGAUGAGAGAGCAAAGUACUGACCUGCUUGACUCAAUAAAGCUAUUAAUGCCCUGUG